ACGCUCGACACCUACGGGAGGCAGCAGUGGGGAAUAUUGCACAAUGGGGGAAACCCUGAUGCAGCGAUGCCGCGUGAAGGAAGAAGUAUCUCGGUAUGUAAACUUCUAUCAGCAGGGAANAAAUGACGGUACCUGACUAAGAAGCCCCGGCUAACUACGUGCCAACAGCCGCGGUAAUCUGAGCGGGCUGGCAAGGC
rnacentral:rRNA from 1 species